rnacentral:rRNA from 1 species
GUACACGCUGUGACUAGCAUAUCAAUAAGCGGAGGAAAAGAAACUAACAAGGAUUCCCCUAGUAACGGCGAGUGAAGCGGGAAGAGCUCAAAUUUGAAAUCUUAAAGGGUUUCCCUUUACGAAUUGUAGUUUAAAGAAGUGUUUUCUGUUGAGGUUUUGGUAAAAGUUCUUUGGAAUAGGACAUCAUAGAGGGUGAGAAUCCCGUAUUUGACCUUUACUUUCAACUUUGUGAUACACUUUCAAAGAGUCGGAUUGUUUGGGAAUGCAGUCCAAAAUGGGUGGUAAAUUUCAUCUAAAGCUAAAUAUUGGCGAGAGACCGAUAGCGAACAAGUACCGUGAGGGAAAGAUGAAAAGAACUUUGAAAAGGAGAGUUAAACAGUACGUGAAAUUGUCAAAAGGGAAGCGUUUGACACCAGUGUUGUUUUUCUGAAAAUCAAUUAAAGAACUGUUUAUGCUAAGUUGUUUAGACUUUAUCAGCUAUCUGUUUAGUUUUGAGCUUUUCUUUAAUGCACUUUUCAGUUGACGAGUCAACAUCAAUUUCUUUUGCUGUAAAAAAGCUUGAGGAAGGUGGCUUGAGAUUCGUCUUAAGUGUUUAUAGCCUCUUGCCUAUGCAGUCGGAGAGAUUGAGGUCUGCAGCGUAGAUCCUUCGGGGCUAAAUGCAUUUGUGCUAAGUUAUAGCAUUUUAUAGACAACUUGUUGACUAUGAUUUGUCUUGUAGCUUACUCGCUUAUGUUAUUUUACCUACGCUUAGGAUGUUGACGAGACUGUCGAUCUC